rnacentral:rRNA from 1 species
AAAUGAAUUGACGGGGGCCCGCACAAGCAGCGGAGCAUGUUGUUUAAUUCGACGCAACGCGAAGAACCUUACCAGGUCUUGACAUCCAACUAACGAAGUAGAAAUACAUUAGGUGCUCGCAAGAGAAAGUUGAGACAGGUGGUGCAUGGUUGUCGUCAGCUCGUGUCGUGAGAUGUUGGGUUAAGUCCCGCAACGAGCGCAACCCUUGUGUUUAGUUACUAACGGAUAAAGCCGAGGACUCUAAACAGACCGCCGGGGACAACUCGGAGGAAGGUGGGGACGACGUCAAAUCAUCAUGCCCCUUAUGAUCUGGGCUACAAACGUGCUACAAUGGCCAGUACAAAGAGAAGCUAACCGGUAACGGCAAGCGGAUCUCAAAAAAGUGGUCUCAGUUCGGAUCGUGGGCUGCAACCCGCCCACGUGAAGUUGGAGUUGCUAGUAAUCGCGAAUCAGCAUGUCGCGGUGAAUACGUUCCCGGGCCUUGUACACACCGCCCGU